GGGGAUGUAUUUGGUUUUCGACAGUAUCCCAGAAGUAUAUGUAGCGAGUAGUGGAUGGCUGCUUCGGCCACUAUAAAAAAGCAGAAAUAAAAAUAAACGCUGAUAAUACAGAAUUAGCAUACGCUGCCUAAGUUUAGGUAGCUCGUCUUACUAGGAAGGCCUACGGUCUUAGAUAAGGCGUCAAUUAGUAGGAUAACAACACUGCUUUAGCCAUUAAAGCAGUAGGUAAAACAAAUGGCUACUUGUAAAAAUCGUUUGUUUGUUAAUGAAUUUUACAGGGAAAAUUAAAUAACAAACUGCACUCGGAGAAACAUAUAUGGAAAGAAUAUUGGACAGGGGUUCAACUCCCCUCAUCUCCACCA
rfam:Clostridium sp. CAG:245 genomic scaffold, scf14